UUAUAGCAAGAGAGCAGCCAGCAGAGCCUGCUCGCCUCGCCGCUGACCAGCAGCCACCCAUCGCCGCCCUCUCUCUCACCGGUUGCUUCCGCCGCCACCGCCUGCGUCGCUCCGCUUCUACCCCCGACGUUGCCUCCUCUGCUGUGUCAAGCUCGAGCCCCAUUCCGGGCUGGGAUUGGGAACCCCGACUUCCCAACCCUAGUGAGGCGCGAGGGAACGAACAAUCGGAUCGACGAUGCCGAGCUUCCCUCCGCCCGGCGCCGUCACCGUCUGCGAGAUCAACCGCGACCUCGUUGCGGCGGAGGCACUGUCCGACGACCGCGCCAAGGACGCAUACGGCGAUGUCCUUGGAAUGGUCUUCAGUCCUAUCCCUUUCCAGCCAGACACCCUUCCCCCCAUCCGCGAGCCCCCUGCUGCAGAGCAACCAGAGUCUACUGAGAACGUGCCCACAGCUAGUGUGACUUCCACCAUAUCUGAGUUCUUCAAACGGAUGAUCUUCCCUCCAUUAAAUCCAAAUCUGCUACAAGAAUUUGACAUCCAGAAAAUAAGUUGGAAUCCUCACAAGCAUUGUCUAGCUUUUGUGUCUGGGAAGAACCAGGUUAUUGUACAUGACUUUGAGGAUUCAGAUGCUAAAGAGCCGUUCAUUUUGACAAGUGACCAGCAAACCAAUGUUAAGGCUGUUGAGUGGAGACCAAAUAGUGGCAAGAUGAUUGCAGUCGCUUGCAAGGGAGGGAUAUGCCUCUGGUCAGCAUCAUAUCCUGGCGAUGUUCCAUUCAUGAAAACUGGGGUCACCCCUUAUUCCUUUAGUGCCUUCCCUAGAGGUUCUGGUGGUUGGUGGAUACUGGUGGAUGUUCUUCGUGACUCUUCUGCUGAGCAAGUUACCGCGCUUUGUUGGAAGCCUGAUGGAAGAUACUUGGCAUCUGCCUCCUGCAAUAGUCCAUCUUUCACGAUUUGGGAUGUGUCUCAAGGGUUGGGUACUCCUAUACGGCGUGGAUUAAGUAAUAUAUCACUACUGCGGUGGUCACCUAGUGGAGAUUAUCUUCUAGCUGCUAAAUUUGAUGGAACUUUUCACUUCUGGGAGACAAACACAUGGACUUCAGAACCUUGGUCUUCAUCUAGCGGAUAUGUGUCUGGAGCGAAUUGGGACCCAGAAGGUCGUGUUGCAUUGGUAUCCUUUUCUGACUCCACAACACUUGGCUCAAUUCACUUCUCAUCUAAGCCACCAUCUUUGGAUGCUCAUCUCCUACCAGUUGAACUUCCAGAAAUUUCCUCCCUGAUUGUCAGCCGAGGCAUAGAAAAAUUAUCAUGGGAUGCUUCAGGGGAGCGUCUGGCAUUGUCGUUCAAAGAUGGAAAUGAAAUGUACCGUGGUCUUGUUGCUGUAUAUGACGUGAGGAGAUCUCCACUUGUCUCAGUAUCACUAGUUGGGUUCAUUAGAGGACCUGGAGAAGGAGUGAAACCACUUGCUUUUGCUUUUCAUAAUAAAUUUAAGCAAGGACCCUUGCUUUCUGUGUGCUGGAGCAGCGGCUGGUGCUGUACAUAUCCACUGAUACUGCGUUCUUAUUAACUCCAAUCGUGGCGUCUCGCCAGUUCAGGACUGAUUGUUUCAACUACUGCUGUCGACCUGGAAUAUCGAACGUUUCACAUAGAGGUGUACUAACGCAGGAAAGGAUGUUCAUGCGAGCUAGUACUAGCAGCGAGCUGCCAAAUCCUAGAAGGAAGCGAUGCAUGAUCCAAGACGGGCAGCAAUGCCAAGCUUAUCCCGGUGUUGCACUACGCCAUUUCUAGCUAUCAUGGGAGGAGGAUACCAGGUGAACUUGACAACAUUAUCAUUCGUCUUUGACUUCCCUCACCGUGGAUACAGUGAGCCUCACAAAAGUCUUGUGUUCCUAGUACUAGGAGAGUAGGUUUGACUAGCCUUAUGACAACAACAACAACUUAUGGCUUGCAUCUGAUGCAAUGAGAUGAGAAAUGACCAUACUUGUUUUUGGUUGUGAGAAAACUUAGCAAGUCCUUUUGUUUUCAGCAGUAGGCUUGUUGCACAGGAGGUUACCAGGAAAUUAUGCUAACUGCAUCCUGUUUGAAUUGGCCUACAAGUUUAGUUUUAGAACUUGAGAACGUCUGCUUGAUUGCGCAGUAACAGUGGUUAUACUAGUUUAACAUUUUUGGGUGAUAAAGAGAUGUUUCUGUUUACUGUAAACACCCUGCUCUUGGUGUGUGUUGUUCUUACGUUAUACUUCUUACAAUGUGUUAAUGCUAUUAGUGAAUUAUGACUACCUGUUUAGAGAAAUGCAGUGGAAGUGAUCUAUAUUAUCCUCGAAUUUCUAAAUUUGUGUUGCUUCCUGACUACUUAGUGUCGGGCUCUUUGAAUCCAGCUUGAAAUAAUUCGUUCGACUGUCAGAUUUGUACUUAUUAGUUAGAAUGGCUGUUUGGAGUUUACUCAGAUUUUUUGUUUCAACUGUCUUCCUUUGUUCUUUUUUGGUUUUGAGAUGAGUUGCAGUUUGAGAGAGCGAGAAGUGUGUACAGCAGAGUGCCGGCACUGUAAAUUUGAUGAAGUCCUUCUACACCUGCGUUAGUAUACCUAGAAAUGGCGUAGUGCAACCACCGGGAUAAGCUUGGCAUUGCUGCCCGUCUUGGAUCAUGCAUCGCUUCCUUCUAGGAUUUGGCAACUCGCUGCUAGUACUAGCUCGCAUGAACAUCCUUUCCUGCGUUAGUACACCUACAAGCCAGAUGGAGUUUAAGUGCAAUUCUAAAAGGAAAAAUCUGCAAUGCAGUCAAACACAUCAGUUCGGCUAUCAGCUUGUUGCAGGUUGUCAUUAUAGCAGAAUAUACAGGACCUCAUAAACAAAAAGCCCUAGGACACAGUUACAUUGCUUAUUGCCAAACAUCCUACCGAAGAUUCUCAAAAAAUAACAAAUAAAGUUCUGCAAAAUAAA